AGACGGUGGAGCAUGUGGUUAAUUCGAAUGAUACGCGAGGAACCUUACCUGGGCUCAAAUGUAUGUUGACGUAUUCUGAAAGGGAUACUUCUUCGGACAAUAUACAAGGUGCUGCAUGGUGUCGUCAGCUCGUGCCGUGAGGUGUCGGGUUAAGUCCCAUAACGAGCGCAACCCCUAUCAUUAGUUGCCAUCAGGUCAAGCUGGGGACUCUAAUGAAACUGCCUACGCAAGUAGUGAGGAAGGUGGGGAUGACGUCAAAUCAGCACGGCCCUUACGUCCAGGGCUACACACGUGCUACAAUGGCCGGUACAAAGGGCAGCUACCUGGUGACAGGAUGCUAAUCUCAAAAGCCGGUCUCAGUUCGGAUCGGAGUCUGCAACCCGACUCCGUGAAGCUGGAAUCGCUAGUAAUCGUGGAUCAGCAUGCCACGGUGAAUACGUUCCCGGGCCUU
rnacentral:rRNA from 1 species